GGUUCAAGCCGGUUGGAUCCGGUUCAAUCCGGCUUGAGCCGGUUCAAUCCGGUUCGAGCCGAUUUGAGCCGGUUGGAUCCGGUUUGAGCCGGUUCGAUCCGGUUUGAGCCGGUUCAAUCCGGUUGUGACCGGUUUGAGCCGGU
rnacentral:ncRNA from 1 species